GUUUGGAUAAGUAACGUUACGUUAGUUUAGGUUAGCUAGGUUAGGUUAGUUUAUGUUAUGUUAGGUAAGGUUAGGUUAGGUUUGUCUAGGAUAAGCUAUAUUAUGUUGGAAUAAGUUUCGUUAGGUUAGGUUAGGUUGGG